UACGAAGGGGGCAAGCGUUGUUCGGAAUUACUGGGCGUAAAGGGCGCGUAGGCGGCGUGUCAAGUCAGGCGUGAAAGCCCCGGGCUCAACCUGGGAACCGCGCUUGAGACUGGCAUGCUCGAGUUCGGGAGAGGAUGGUGGAAUUCCCAGUGUAGAGGUGAAAUUCGUAGAUAUUCGCAAGAACACCAGUGGCGAAGGCGGCUCACUGGCCCGGUACUGACGCUGAGGUGCGAAAGCGUGGGGAGCAAACAGG
rnacentral:rRNA from 1 species